GUCGAGAAUCUUUCACAAUGGGGGCAACCCUGAUGGAGCGACGCCGCGUGGAGGAUAAGGUCUUCGGAUUGUAAACUCCUGUCAUGCGUGAACAAGGUUGCUUGGUUAAUACCUGGGCAAAUUGAUGGUAACGCAAGAGGAAGAGACGGCUAACUCUGUGCCAGCAGCCGCGGUAAUACAGAGGUCUCAAGCGUUGUUCGGAAUCACUGGGCGUAAAGGGUGCGUAGGUGGCGGGGUAAGUCAGAUGUGAAAGCCCGGGGCUCAACCUCGGAACUGCAUCCGAUACUGCCAUGCUAGAGUACUGGAGAGGUGACUAGAAUUCUCGGUGUAGCAGUGAAAUGCGUAGAUAUCGAGAGGAAUACCAAAGGCGUAGGCAGGUCACUGGACAGUUACUGACACUGAGGCACGAAGGCCAGGGGAGCGAACGGGAUUAGAUACCCUAGUAGUCC
rnacentral:rRNA from 1 species